GGGGGCUCCGGGCGCGCGGCGGAGCCGACACCCACCCACACCCUGCCGCCGCCGAGGGGCUGUGACUGGCCGCGGGGCUCAGCCACGGGCCCUGCAGGGAGCUCCCGCCCCCUCCCCCCCGUAAGCACCGGCCGGGACCCACGGAAACACCUUGAACCACGUUCCAGCAGCCGCCGAGCGCGGAGAAGUUAAAGUGGAACCAAGGCGCCAUCUCCCCAAGGACCUGGCCCCCAGCGCACAAUCACAGACACUCCCCAGGCACCCGAAACGGCCACGUCCUCCCCGAUCGAUCGUUAUUGAUCUAUUGACUCCUGGGAAUGACCCGUAAAGGAAACACCCCCGCCGUGACGGUGACACCUCGAGGGACAGAGCUCCUGUGUCUUUACCAAUCGGUUACAGAAUAACGUCCACGUUUCACGCCAGAUCAUCCCCUCCUCCCAGGGGGAAAGAAAU